GGCAAAUUAUUCUUUUAUACUUUCUUAUAGAGAAAAUUAAUCAAACAAAUUAUGAGAGAGACAACACCAAAUCUAACCUAUGUCUACUCGAUCGAAAGAGACACACACACAUUACAUAGGUUGGUCCUUUGCACAAACAAAACCAUAUUAAUUAUAUAAAUGUUGUGCAAAUGCAACACACAAACCUUUUCUUUCUUCUCCUUUACACGAAAAAAAGAAAACCCUACACGCCGAUGGCAUGCAUCGCCUAACAUCAAGACAGCUAGCUCACACACACACACACCAUCAUCAUUAACAUCUAAACAGCUCACUAAUCACUAUCCCUAACCACUAACCAAAAGCGACUAAUUGAAGCUAAAUAUGUACAAGAAAUUAAUUAUAAUUAUGGGGGUGUGAUUAAGUGGCUAACUCGUCAUUAUCCCUCACUAAUCAGAUCAUUAAACCUAGCUAGCUAGAUAGUUGUAGUGGUGGCAUGUACAGGUGGCGGUGUGGCGCGACAUGUCGUGCGCUCAGUGCGCGUCGCCGGCGGCGAGCCAGCGGGCGGCGGCGCA
rnacentral:lncRNA from 1 species